GGACGAACGCUGGCGGCGUGCUUAACACAUGCAAGUCGAACGAUGAAGAAGAGAAACGCGAACUUCGGUUCAAAUUUCACUUCGGAUUAGUGGCAGACGGGUGAGUAACGCGUGAGCAACCUACCUCUUACAAAGGGAUAGCCUCGGGAAACCGUGAUUAAUACCAUAUGACACAUUCAUAAGGCAUCUUAAGAAUGUUAAAGCUACGGCGGUAAGAGAUGGGCUCGCGUCCCAUUAGCUAGUUGGUGAGGUAACGGCCCACCAAGGCGACGAUGGGUAACCGGCCUGAGAGGGGGAACGGUCACAUUGGAACUGAGACACGGUCCAAACUCCUACGGGAGGCAGCAGUGGGGAAUAUUGCACAAUGGAGGGAACUCUGAUGCAGCGACGCCGCGUGAGCGAUGAAGGAAUUCGUUUCGUAAAGCUCUGCUCUAUGGGAAGAAAAGGACUGUACCAUAGGAGAAAGCCCCGGCUAAAUACGUG
rnacentral:rRNA from 1 species